ensembl:lncRNA
GUAGGAAACCCCUUUACUUGUUACCUUAGCAACUAAAUUAACUAACUUGUAAACAAGGUACCACCAGGCUCUUCUCAUCUCCGGUCCAAGCACACCUUUCAGAUCUUUUAAUCACACAAUGCCUUGCCUAACUUGUUGGUUCUUUCCAUAGAUCAAAGAAGUAGAGAUGAAGAAUAAGUAACUAACAGAUGACCAGACCUCUUCUCUCGCUUCCCCUUCAGUAAUCUCAUGAACAAACGGUGUGACCAAACUGUGAACAAGAUAGAACAUAGAGCAAGGUCACAAAAAGCCCAUGAGCCUGCAUGCAGUGGAGGAUGGCAGCGACACUCAGCCCCCAUUUCGGUGAUUAACUUGAGUUACUUCCCUUCCUCCCUUUAAAGCUUUCAUGACCGAGAAGAAUCUUAGAAGGAGGUUUUGGGGGAACAUUGAGUGCCCCAUCUCCCCAGAUUGCCGGCAUUCUGUUUAAAGGCACUUUUCCUUUCUGUCAACAUCUGUGAAUAUUGAUUUUGUAAGUGAUUGUGACUUUAUAACUCUUGAGAAGCCAGGCAAAACCACUUAUGAGAGAAGGAAAAGAAUAAGAAAACAAAAAAUCUUAGAAAAUGUGAUUUCUCCCUGGAAGCCUUUCUGUCUUUAUGCCAUGGAGAAUAGUUGAACCAUCAAAAAAUCCAUUUAUAAUUAGUGAAACCAGGAGCUUGGGGGAAUAAACUGAACAAAGGCAAGAAUGGCAAAUCUUGAUACAUUUUGCAAAAGAUGAAUGAAUAAAGAAAAUGUGGCAUAUACUACAUGCAAUGGAAUAUUAUUCAGCCUCAACAAGAAACCUUGGACCACUGGACAAAACCUCGAGAGGGAUUGUCAAAAGAUCCUCUGACCAGUCCUGAGGAAAUCUGGUACACUGAUGGAAGCAGCAUUGUCUUAGAUGGAAAAAGAAGAGCCAGGAACAUGGAGCUGGUCAUACCCAAAUUAAACCAGUCAAGACCAUGGAUUGGGUGACUGUUCAAUAGAUGACCAUUUGACAUCAGAGGGCCAAAAACUUCACCCUCAGAUCAUGUUAAUGACACCAUUUUCUGAACAUACAUCCCAUGAAGAAGCAUGUAACCCAGAUACAUCUGUGCAGAACCCCAAUUACUUUAAGUUUUUCUUCAGUCAUCUUUCCCCACACCUCAGACCACCCUGCUUCCUUAUCCCACGAGUAU